rnacentral:rRNA from 1 species
UCCGGCCUACGGGAGGCAGCAGUGAGGAAUAUUGGUCAAUGGUCGGGAGACUGAACCAGCCAAGCCGCGUGAGGGAUGAAGGUACAGAGUAUCGUAAACCUCUUUUGUCAGGGAACAAAGGCGGGGACGUGUCCCCGGAUGAGUGUACCUGAAGAAAAAGCAUCGGCUAACUCCGUACCAGCAGCCGCGGUAAUACGGAGGAUGCGAGCGUUAUCCGGAUUUAUUGGGUUUAAAGGGUGCGCAGGCGGUCUUUUAAGUCA